AUUGAACGCUGGCGGCAGGCCUAACACAUGCAAGUCGAGCGAGCGGCGGACGGGUGAGUAAUGCCUGGGAAUUGCCCAGUCGAGGGGGAUAACAGUUGGAAACGACUGCUAAUACCGCAUACGAUUUGAUUGCCCAGGUGGGAGUAGCUAGUUGGUGAGGUAAUGGCUCACCAAGGCGACGAUGCCUAGCUGGUCUGAGAGGAUGAUCAGCCACACUGGGACUGAGACACGGCCCAGAUGCCUACGGGAGGCAGCAGUGGGGAAUAUUGGACAAGGGGGGAAACUCUGACGGAGCAAUGCCGCGUGUGUGAAGAAGGUUUUCGGGUUGUAAAGCACUGUUAGCGAGGAAGCGGUAUUUAAAGAAAAAGCACCGGCUAACGACGUGCCAGCAGCCGCGGUAAUAC
rnacentral:rRNA from 1 species